rnacentral:lncRNA from 1 species
UGGGGAAGUACAGUGAGUUCUUGAUAAAAAAAGCGAUAUUUUUUGUCAAUUUUUAAUUCAUACAAACAAGGGUGGCGAUAUGGUAGUAAGAUAAAUAAACAUGGUAUGGAAAUCCCAGCCCCUCAUUCUCAUCAUCGUCGUCGUAUUUAUUUCCCAAUUCAGCUCUCCAAUCUUGGUCCUUAUCAUCGCUCGAAACAAAUAGAAAAAAUACAUUUUGUCUACUUCAGACUCAACAGUAGCGCUCGAAUCAAAUUAGUCUAAGAAGUCCGUUAGAAUUGACAAUAAACCACUAAUUCUCCUUCAAAAAGACCAAAGUUUACUAUACUGUUAUGCA